rnacentral:lncRNA from 1 species
GUCGUAACAACAGAGGUAAUAACAACAAAGCUCAGUGGAAGCAUUGUAUGCUUUCUUUGGGACAAGAAAGAAGAGAAAAGCAACCUAGAUCAUGGGAAAUUCUGUGGAAGAAAACUGUCAACCUCCAUUAAAGUGAUGGAAUAUGAAUAUGGAAGGAUACAGAGCACAUCCAAAAAGAGAGAGAACCAGCCAGAAGCUUACAGGAAGAAAGAUGCAAUAAGACAAGGUGGAGAAGAGGAGGUACUAGUGAGGAAGAAGAGGAUAAUGAGCUUGGAGUCAUUUUGUAUUCAAAUUGAAUAUUUCCUUUUCAUGAGGUCAUGACCAUUUCAUACAUAUACAAGAAAAAAAAAUAAAGACUUGGCAUGUCUGCCUUUGGGUGCCA